CCAGACUCCUACGGGAGGCAGCAGUGAGGAAUAUUGGUCAAUGGUCGGGAGACUGAACCAGCCAAGCCGCGUGAGGGAUGAAGGUACAGAGUAUCGUAAACCUCUUUUGUCAGGGAGCAAUUGGCGCUACGUGUAGCGUUAUCGAGAGUACCUGAAGAAAAAGCAUCGGCUAACUCCGUGCCAGCAGCCGCGGUAAUACGGAGGAUGCGAGCGUUAAUCGGGAUUACUGGGCGUAAAGGGUGUGCAGGCGGCUGAGUAAGACAGAUGUGAAAUCCCCGGGCUUAACCUGGGAACCGCAUAUGUGACUGCUUGGCUAGAGUGCGUCAGAGGGAGGUGGAAUUCCACGUGUAGCAGUGAAAUGCGUAGAUAUGUGGAAGAACACCGAUGGCGAAGGCAGCCUCCUGGGACGCAACUGACGCUCAUACACGAAAGCGUGGGGAGCAAACAGGAUUAGAUACCCUCGUA
rnacentral:rRNA from 1 species